UACGUAGGUGGCAAGCGUUGUCCGGAUUUACUGGGCGUAAAGAGCGCGCAGGCGGUCGUUCAAGUCGCGUGUGAAAGCCCCCGGCUCAACUGGGGAGGGUCACGCGAUACUGAUCGACUCGAAGGCAGGAGAGGGUAGUGGAAUUCCCGGUGUAGUGGUGAAAUGCGUAGAUAUCAGGAGGAACACCGAUGGCGAAGGCAGCCAUCUGGACCGACACUGACGCUGAGGCGCGAAAGCGUGGGGAGCAAACAGG
rnacentral:rRNA from 1 species